rnacentral:rRNA from 1 species
GAUUUUGUUACGGUCUUUAAUUUACAGUUCGGUUUAUUAACUAUGGACUUUCGAGAACGAUCAGUUAUGAAAUUUUGUUACUGUAGAGAAAUCUAGCGCAAGAAACCGAAAUACUUAUGGCCAAGAUAGUGCCAGCAGCCGCGGUCAUACUACCGUAAGGAGUAAAUAAAAUAAGUGAAAUAGUUUGCUUUAUUAAAUUUAAAACUAUAGUGAAAUAUACUCUAAAUUAUUUCCAACAUAAGCACUUAUACCUUAAAUAUUCUAUUCAAACAAGGAUUAGAUACCCUUCUAUGAAGUACAUAAAAAUCUUCACUGGGUACUAGAGUAUAUAUUACCCAAACUCAAAUAACAUGGCGGUAAUUUUAACGCUUAGGGGAACUUACCUAAUAAUUGAUAGUCACCAAGAGAAUCUACUUUAAGUUUAAAUUUUGUAUGCCGUCGUCUAGAUUAAAUACAGUAUUUAAUCGUUUAGUAAAAUACACUAUAUGACAGAUCAUGGUGCAGACCAUCUUAAAGGUGAGGCGAGUUACAAUAAUAUUUUAUAUUCUAUAAGGUUUAUUUAAAAACCUGCUUAGUUGGACUUAAUAGUAAGUGUUUAUAUUAUAAAUAUUAACUGAAUUUUAAUAAAAUUGUGC